CGGCCUCACCAUUCCCCACUCUCUCUCUCUUAUCUCUUUCGUCUAGAGAAGCUCCGGCCGAGCGAAAUCCAGGUACACUCCGCUGCUCCGGCCAAAUUCGCUCGCCCCGAACUGCUCUGGCGAUUCCCUCCCUCUAUAUCCCUGCCUCUCUGCGCGCUGCUUCUUAUCCAUCCCCGUGCGGCCGUGCCCCAUGGCUUCUACCGGCAGCUGCAAGGGAUGGCCGGAGAGCGCACUGCUGCGGGAGCCGACCGAAUACGCCGCUGCUGCACCGCCACAUGUCUCUGGCUGCUAGUAGCAGGGAGACGACGAACUACACAAGCAGCAGAGCAACGACGAAAUCGACGAGCCUGACGACAACGGCAAGCUGGAGUCUCCCCCGACGAGCUCGACGAGGAAUAGGACGACGGUGAUGUCUCGGAGCAGCACGGUCGACCUCGGCGCCCUCUUGCCCGGCGUAGCCCCACUAGCAAAACCCAAGAUGCUGUCCAACCAAGUUUGUGUAUCCACAUUGCUUCUGAUGGCAUUGAAAGCUUCUACAAAGGCUUCCUCUUCCUCAUACUUGUACAUGCAAGCACUGAAAUCAGCAAGUACAUUUGGUCCCUCCUCGUCUUUUUUCUUAUAAGGUACAAUUCCUGAAUCAUCUGCUGUUUCAAUUUCAAUUGCUUGCAAGGCCGAAAUCUUCCGUUGUGACGGCAUCAAGUGGCUUGUCCCAGGUAAUUGCAAGACAUGGUUGUGUUCAACAACUAACUUGUGCACCUCAUAAUUUUCUGCUUCUCGGUCUAUAGUGAUUCCCAUUCGAACAUUGCAGCCGGUCCUUGUUUCUGCACGAGGACGCUUUGUAUUAUUAUCCCUUUUGUCCUUUCUUCUGUACCCUUCAUUAGAACAAACAUAUCUUGCAGAAGUGAUUACUCCGUCAAGUUUGCUCUUGUUUUCAUAAUUUACCCUUACAUCAAAACCAGUAUGACCUCCAUAACAUGUCCAAAAGUUCCAAGCCACUUUUGUGGAAUUAAACUUCAUACCAAUCUGAGGCAUCCAACUAGGAACCACAUUUGUGCUGCACAAAUUAAGCAUAACUUAUUUGUUUCUCUGCUUACACUACAAUCAUAAGAUGACAUGGCCUAAUAAGAAUUGAAUAAAAUUAUUGGUACCUGUUAGAACCUUCGUUGGUGGAGUUAAUCAUAUUCUCCAUUACACUUUGUGUUUUUCUUUUAUAAUCUAUGAUAGCAAACUCAGUCCAUGAGAUCUUUGUUGCUGCCAACAUGAAUACAAUUGAAACAUAUGUCAUAUGCUUUGAGAUUGACGUCUUUAUUUUUGUUGCUACCAUGUACUCCCUCCGUUCCAAAUUACUCCCGCGACAAGUAAUUCGGAACGGAGGGAGUACAUCACAGGCACCUGUAUAUCAUCUACAACUCAAUAUAUAUUGUUCUUGUCCUAGCUACAACGAGGACGAUCAGGACAAAAGUAAGAUAGAAGGGAAAUCAUCUACAACAGGCACACACCAACGUACCUUGGUCUUGUUCUCGCUAGAGAGGACGAGUGGGAGGAACAAGGGAGACGAGCAGGAGGAGGUGCCGAGGAAAUUGUCAACACGUUCUGAUUGGCCACAACGUUAGUUCAGCAGAAGCGAGAUCUCUACAACACGUUCAGAUCAGCAUACCUUGGUCUCAUUUUUUCUCCGAGGAGGACCAUCAGGAGGAAGAGGACGAGUGGGAGGAUUUUGGCGCCAAGAAACUAUCAGCUCGCUCAGUUUGGCGCCAGCGUUUAUGUGUUUCGCGGCAAUUGUACAACCGUGGGAGAUUUUCCUCCGGACUAAUAUGGAUUUUUGUUCUAAUUAUUCAUAGAAUUAAAGGGGGAGAAAGGAGAGCCAUCCGAUUAAAA